rnacentral:rRNA from 1 species
ACGAACGCUGGCGGCGUGCCUAAUACAUGCAAGUAGAACGCUGAAGAGAGGAGCUUGCUCUUCUUGGAUGAGUUGCGAACGGGUGAGUAACGCGUAGGUAACCUGCCUUGUAGCGGGGGAUAACUAUUGGAAACGAUAGCUAAUACCGCAUAACAAUGGAUGACACAUGUCAUUUAUUUGAAAGGGGCAAUUGCUCCACUACAAGAUGGACCUGCGUUGUAUUAGCUAGUAGGUGAGGUAACGGCUCACCUAGGCGACGAUACAUAGCCGACCUGAGAGGGUGAUCGGCCACACUGGGACUGAGACACGGCCCAGACUCCUACGGGAGGCAGCAGUAGGGAAUCUUCGGCAAUGGGGGCAACCCUGACCGAGCAACGCCGCGUGAGUGAAGAAGGUUUUCGGAUCGUAAAGCUCUGUUGUAAGUCAAGAACGAGUGUGAGAGUGGAAAGUUCACACUGUGACGGUAGCUUACCAGAAAGGGACGGCUAACUACGUGCCAGCAGCCGCGGUAAUACGUAGGUCCCGAGCGUUGUCCGGAUUUAUUGGGCGUAAAGCGAGCGCAGGCGGUUUGAUAAGUCUGAAGUUAAAGGCUGUGGCUCAACCAUAGUUCGCUUUGGAAACUGUCAAACUUGAGUGCAGAAGGGGAGAGUGGAAUUCCAUGUGUAGCGGUGAAAUGCGUAGAUAUAUGGAGGAACACCGGUGGCGAAAGCGGCUCUCUGGUCUGUAACUGACGCUGAGGCUCGAAAGCGUGGGGAGCGAACAGGAUUAGAUACCCUGGUAGUCCACGCCGUAAACGAUGAGUGCUAGGUGUUGGAUCCUUUCCGGGAUUCAGUGCCGCAGCUAACGCAUUAAGCACUCCGCCUGGGGAGUACGACCGCAAGGUUGAAACUCAAAGGAAUUGACGGGGGCCCGCACAAGCGGUGGAGCAUGUGGUUUAAUUCGAAGCAACGCGAAGAACCUUACCAGGUCUUGACAUGCCGAUGCUAUUUCUAGAGAUAGAAAGUUACUUCGGUACAUCGGUGACAGGUGGUGCAUGGUUGUCGUCAGCUCGUGUCGUGAGAUGUUGGGUUAAGUCCCGCAACGAGCGCAACCCCUAUUGUUAGUUGCCAUCAUUCAGUUGGGCACUCUAGCGAGACUGCCGGUAAUAAACCGGAGGAAGGUGGGGAUGACGUCAAAUCAUCAUGCCCCUUAUGACCUGGGCUACACACGUGCUACAAUGGUUGGUACAACGAGUUGCGAGUCGGUGACGGCAAGCUAAUCUCUUAAAGCCAAUCUCAGUUCGGAUUGUAGGCUGCAACUCGCCUACAUGAAGUCGGAAUCGCUAGUAAUCGCGGAUCAGCACGCCGCGGUGAAUACGUUCCCGGGCCUUGUACACACCGCCCGUCACACCACGAGAGUUUGUAACACCCGAAGUCGGUGAGGUAACCUUUUGGAGCCAGCCGCCUAAGGUGGGAUAGAUGAUUGGGGUG